rnacentral:rRNA from 1 species
UGGGGAAUAUUGCACAAUGGGCGCAAGCCUGAUGCAGCCAUGCCGCGUGUAUGAAGAAGGCCUUCGGGUUGUAAAGUACUUUCAGUCGGGAGGAAGGUGGUAAGGUUAAUAACCUUAUCAAUUGACGUUACCGACAGAAGAAGCACCGGCUAACUCCGUGCCAGCAGCCGCGGUAAUACGGAGGGUUCAAGCGUUAAUCGGAAUUACUGGGCGUAAAGCGCACGCAGGCGGUUGAUUGAGUCAGAUGUGAAAUCCCCGGGCUUAACCCGGGAAUUGCAUCUGAUACUGGUCAGCUAGAGUCUUGUAGAGGGGGGUAGAAUUCCAUGUGUAGCGGUGAAAUGCGUAGAGAUGUGGAGGAAUACCGGUGGCGAAGGCGGCCCCCUGGACAAAGACUGACGCUCAGGUGCGAAAGCGUGGGGAGCAAACAGG